rnacentral:tRNA from 1 species
AAGGGGUGUAUGAACACCAAGAACUGCUAAUUCCUGCCCCUGAAGUUAAAAUCUUCAGACCCCUUA